GGGGGCCCGCCUAGGAAGAACCCCCGCUGAAGUCGUUUCAACUUGUGACAUCACUUUUGCCUGUGUGUCGGAUCCAAAGGCAGCCAAGGACCUGGUGCUGGGCCCCAGCGGUGUGCUGCAAGGAAUCCGCCCCGGGAAGUGCUAUGUGGACAUGUCAACGGUGGAUGCGGUACAGUCACCGANCUGGCCCAGGUGAUUGUAUCCAGAGGGGGACGCUUUCUGGAAGCA
rnacentral:misc_RNA from 1 species